UACGGGAGGCAGCAGUGAGGAAUAUUGGUCAAUGGGCGAGAGCCUGAACCAGCCAAGUAGCGUGCAGGACGACGGCCCUAUGGGUUGUAAACUGCUUUUAUACAGGGAUAAAGUAGGGAACGUGUUCCCUUUUGCAGGUACUGUAUGAAUAAGGACCGGCUAAUUCCGUGCCAGCAGCCGCGGUAAU
rnacentral:rRNA from 1 species